rnacentral:rRNA from 1 species
UGAAUACGAGACGCUAAGGCGUCGAAGUAGUGUAUGUCAUACUUCCAAGAAAAGCUUGCACUGUCAUAAGUAAAAAAUGCCUGUACCAUAACCGACACAGGUGGGUAGGUAGAGUAUACUAAGGGGCGCGAGAUAACUCUCUCUAAGGAACUCGGCAAAAUAACUCCGUAACUUCGGGAGAAGGAGUACCUUAUUCUAUAAGGUUGCAAUAACAAGAUCCAAGCAACUGUUUAUCAAAAACACAGGUCUCCGCUAAGUCGUAAGACGAUGUAUGGGGGCUGACGCCUGCCCAGUGCCAGAAGGUUAAAGAAGUCGGUUAGCAUUAGCGAAGCUGGUAACUGAAGCCCUGGUGAACGGCGGCCGUAACAAUAACGGUCCUAAGGUAGCGAAAUUCCUUGUCGGGUAAGUUCCGACCCGCACGAAAGGCGUAAUGAUUUGGAUACUGUCUCGGAGAGGGGCUCGGUGAAAUAGACUUGUCUGUGAAGAUGCGGACUACCUGCACCAGGACAGAAAGACCCUAUGAAGCUUUACUGUAACUUGAAAUUGAAAUUGGACUUUAUUCGCGCAGUAUAGGUGGGAGGUGUUGAUUAUAAUCUUGCGGGAUUAUUGGAGCCAUCAGUGAGAUACCACUCUUGUAAUGUUAGAUUUCUAACUUUGAAUCAUUAUCUGGUCAAAGGACAGUUUCAGGCGGGCAGUUUGACUGGGGCGGUCGCCUCCCAAACGGUAACGGAGGCGUACAAAGGUUUCCUCUGAACGGGUAGAAAUCGUAUCUAGAGUGUAAAGGCAUAAGGAAGCUUGACUGUGAGACCUACAAGUCGAACAGGGACGAAAGUCGGUCUUAGUGAUCUGACGGUACUGAGUGGAAAGGCCGUCACUCAACGGAUAAAAGUUACUCUAAGGAUAACAGGCUGAUCUCCCCCAAGAGUUCACAUCGACGGGGAGGUUUGGCACCUCGAUGUCGGCUCAUCGCAUCCUGGGGCGGUAGUACGUCCCAAGGGUUGGGCUGUUCGCCCAUGAAAGCGGUACGCGUGCUGGGUUCAGAACGUCGUGAGACAGCUCGGUCCAUAUCCGGUGUAGGCGUUAGAAUAUUGAGAGGAGCCUUCUUUAGUACGAGAGGACCGAGAAGGACAUACCUCUGGUGUACCAGUUAUCGUGCCAACGGUAAACGCUGGGUAGCUAUGUAUGGAGUGGAUAACCGCUGAAAGCAUCUAAGUGGGAAGCCCACCUCAAGAUAAG